rnacentral:rRNA from 1 species
CCUACGGGUUGCAGCAGUGGGGAAUAUUGCACAAUGGGCGCAAGCCUGAUGCAGCCAUGCCGCGUGUAUGAAGAAGGCCUUCGGGUUGUAAAGUACUUUCAGCGGGGAGGAAGACGAUAAGGUUAAUAACCUUGUCGAUUGACGUUACCCGCAGAAGAGGCACCGGCUAACUCCGUGCCAGCAGCCGCGGUAAUUCGGAGGGCGCAAGCGUUAAUCGGAAUUACUGGGCGUAAAGCGCACGCAGGCGGUCUGUCAAGUCGGAUGUGAAAUCCCCGGGCUCAACCUGGGAACUGCAUUCGAAACUGGCAGGCUGGAGUCUUGUAGAGGGGGGUAGAAUUCCAGGUGUAGCGGUGAAAUGCGUAGAGAUCUGGAGGAAUACCGGUGGCGAAGGCGGCCCCCUGGACAAAGACUGACGCUCAGGUGCGAAAGCGUGGGGAGCAAACAGGAUUAGAUACCCUCGUAGUC